rnacentral:rRNA from 1 species
ACUAGACGGUAGUAUAGAGCACUAUCGUGGUGGUGACGGCAACAGAGAACUGGGGUUCGGUUCUGUAGAGAGAGCUUUAGAGACGGCUCUCACAUCCAAGGAAGGCAGCAGGCGCGCAAAUUACCCAAUGAGGUUUCCUCGAGGUAGUACAGGACAUCGCGAUGACUGUGUCAUUGACACCGUCAAUCGUGCUGAGACUCAUUUAAACCCAGUACCGAACACAACAAGAGGGCAAGUCUGGUGCCAGCAGCCGCGGUAAUUCCAGCUCUUGUAGGGAACAACAAAAUUGCUGCAGUUAAAAAGCUCGUAGUCGGAUGUUUCGAGUGUANUGUGUGAUUUGCAUGAUGUGCCGGAAGGCGCGUUGUUUUGGCAAGUGACCCACUCGAUUGUUGAGGUGGACUCUCGUGUCAGUUAAUUCUGUCUUGCGGGAUGAUGGAAGCCUCUCUUGCACUGUGAAUAAAACGAAGCGCUCCAAGCAGUUUGGAAAGACUGAACGAUAAAGCAUGGGAUGCUGUCAGAAGAUCUUGGGAUGACGAGUUGUCGGUGAAUUGUGAUCCUAGAUAAUGAUUACAGGAGCAGUUGGGGCGAUUGGUAUUGCAGGGGUACCGGUGAAAUGGAGAUCCUUGCAAGACUGACGAAAGCGAAAGCAUUUCGCAAGGAUGUUUUCAAUGAUCAAGAACGAAAGUCAUGGGAUCGAAGAGGAUUAGAUACCCUCGUAGUCAUGACCGUAAACGAUCCUGACUAGGAAUCGGUGCGAUUGCAUAUGUCGUGCCGGCGCCUUAGGGAAACCAAAGUUAUUGAGGUCUGGGGGGAGUAUGGAUGCAAGUCUGAAACUUAAAGGAAUUGACGGAAGGGCACCACCAAGCGUGGAGCUUGCGGCUUAAUUUGACCCAACACGGGAAAACUUACGGGGAUAGGACAAUGGAAGGAUGGACAGGCUGAAGCCCUUUCCAGAUUCUUUGGUUGGUGGUGCAUGGCCGUUCUUGGUUCGUGAAUUGAUUUGUCUGGUUUAUUCCGUUAACGAACGAGACGACGUUUGGAUGAUGCGUUCAUUUUAUGUGGUGAUUCUUGUAAUCUGCCCGACGCUCCUUCCGAGACGUACGCUGCAAGGCGUAGGAAGUGUCGCAAUAACAGGUCUGUGAUGCCCUUAGAUACCCCCGGCCGCACGCGUGCUACAAUGGACACGUCAACAAGUUCCAGCUGUUCUGUGUGGUGUAUUAGUGUUCGCACUCGCCGCGUAUUUUUGAAGGAAUGGCUAAUCUUUGAACCGUGCCCAAGGUUGGGAUCGCGGAGUGCAAUUCUUCCGCGUGAACAAGGAAUGUUUCGUAGACGCGAGUCAUCAACUCGCAUCGAUUACGUCCCUGCCCUUUGUACACACCGCCCGUCGCACCUACCGAUGC